UCACGAACACUUGUUGCGCGAGUUCGAAGAAGUGACGCAGAUCCGGCUUGGUUCCGUCGGCGAACGCAAAGAGCACGAGUUCGAAGAAGCGAUGCAGAAUCGGCUUGAUUCCAAUCAAUCGCCAUCGAAUACUGAGGAGAAAAAGGAGCCUGACUGCAACAGUGAUCCGGUGUGCGACACAGAAAGUGCCUUUGAAUACGUCGUCGAGAAGACAGAGCAAGAAUUGACCAAAAAGAACUCACUCCUACAGCCAGCCAUCUGCAAGCAGCGAGAAUAAUAUGGCCGACACGAUGGCUACACUGGUAUAGAAAAUCACGGAAACGUGACGUCAAGGAAGAAGAGGAAUGAAUCGCCAUCUUAUCUGGACGGCAGGCCGCCGGCAAAAAAAA